GGAGAUGUAUGCGUCACUGGUGGGCGCCCCGGACUUCAAACCCGCGUGUGGGGCACUAAUACUGUCUCAGAUAGGUUCGAUUCCUAUACAUCUCCGCCA
rnacentral:tRNA from 1 species